GCUGGGCGUGGUGGUGCACGCCUGUAAUCCCAGCAGCUCUGGAGACUGAGACAGGAGGAUGGUGAGUUCAAAGCCAGCCUCAGCAAAAGCAAGGCCCUAAGCAACUCAGUGAGACCCUGUCUCUA
rnacentral:sRNA from 1 species